rnacentral:lncRNA from 1 species
CUUCUGUUUUGAUUGAUGAGAUUUGUCUGAAUCUGAGAAUUUGCAUGAAAGAUUCAGGUGUAAAACAUUCUGGUGAUUAUAUUUGGUGAACAAAAUGCUACCUUGAUAUGUAUUGCAAAACAUAUUGCAGCAAUAAAGAUCAUUACCAGAAGCACCCUGUGGAGGGCAAGGAAUUUUUCAAAAUGAGCUGAACAUGUUUUUAAUGUCUAUGAGAAAUAAAGACUUGUGG